ensembl:lncRNA
CAUGUGUGUUUAUCUGCUGCAGAGAGACUGAUGAAGGAAUGCUGCCAUCAAUGGCUCUCAAGCUUUUGUGGUGGAGCAGGUGACAGUCACAUUUGUGGAAAAAAGGGAAAACCUGAAACAAAAAUAUAAAUUUUGUGUGAUCUGAAAUGUCUGCAGACUGGUGUGAGCAGUGAGGAUGGAGAUUCGACAGCAGCAUUCUGGAAAUGGUCCAGUGACACAGAUGAGACACUUCAUCAUUGCAUCUGCCCAGUUUGCUUUUCUUCUUCUUUUAAUCGGCGACUGGUUGUCGCCCAGCGUUUUUCGCUCGAUAUUUGCAUAAAGUAGAGCAAUGUCCAACAUUCUUGAUGCUCUCGGCC